rnacentral:rRNA from 1 species
CCUACGGGUGGCUGCAGUGGGGAAUAUUGGACAAUGGGGGCAACCCUGAUCCAGCCAUGCCGCGUGUGUGAAGAAGGCCCUCGGGUUGUAAAGCACUUUCAGUGAGGAAGAACGCCUGGUGGUUAAUACCCAUCAGGAAAGACAUCACUCACAGAAGAAGCACCGGCUAACUCCGUGCCAGCAGCCGCGGUAAUACGGAGGGUGCGAGCGUUAAUCGGAAUUACUGGGCGUAAAGCGCGCGUAGGUGGCUUGAUAGGCCGGUUGUGAAAGCCCCGGGCUCAACCUGGGAACGGCAUCCGGAACUGUCAAGCUAGAGUGCAGGAGAGGAAGGUAGAAUUCCCGGUGUAGCGGUGAAAUGCGUAGAGAUCGGGAGGAAUACCAGUGGCGAAGGCGGCCUUCUGGACUGACACUGACACUGAGGUGCGAAAGCGUGGGUAGCAAACAGGAUUAGAUACCCUUGUAGUC